rnacentral:lncRNA from 1 species
UAGAGAUCACAGACACCAAUAUGGAGGAUGACCAAAUAGCGUUUUAUUAAACAACAGCAGGCAUUAUAUGCCUUUCGGCCACACGGAAGUACCUGUGCUGACCCAAUCAGAAGGUAUGUUGGUGCUAAGAGGAAGGCUAGUGAAAAUGCGGGCCCUCUUUGGAAGGAAACAAGAGACCUGGUUACCUGGGGCAUGGAGAAGGCCGAAGUAUUCAACUUGUUUGUCUCAGUCUUCACUGACAAGAGCUCCAGCCACACCACCAAAGUCACAGAAGGCAAAGGCAACCAAGAAACCUGAAGAAAUCAGAAGUCUUUUGUCGGCUUCUUAGCUUCAGAAAAGAGAAGAUGAGCUACAGAGACAGCAGAAGGAAACACUUUCUCUGUGACAGAAUAAGGAUGAUCUUCUUAUUGAGCUCUAGCCUCAAGAAGUUAGAUUUAGUGGCUCUAGACUGAGCUGUGCAAAAUGGAAUUGGAGAUAAAAAAUGGAGAGCUGAAGCUGAACAGCUACAAAAUGAACUGGGAAUAUCCAGUUAGUUACAUGGGCAGGCCAAAUAUUCAGCUGGAAGACCAGAAGACAAUGAUUCAGAAGCCCAGGGAGCCUUCAGUGGACAAUCAGAUUGUGCCUACAGCGGAAGAAUCUUGCUGGCAUAUUGCCUUUGCCACUCUAAAAUCUGAUUUCACAGAAUUUGAAAAGAAAGUAUGUCAAAACUUCAGUACAGUUGGAUGAUACCAAAAAGGAACUGGAGGAGGUGCAUGCUGCUCUUGUCGUGGUCAUGCAGGAACUCGAUUUGGCAGGAGCUGAGUGAGACAUGAUGAAAAGAUUGACAUUUCUUCUGAGGAAAAAAAUAAGAAAAAAGAAGGCUUGCUACACUGGAUAUCAAGAUUUUCAUAGGACUACUUUGAAAAUGUAGAAUCUGCAGCUCUUAUACUGUGGAAUACUGAGCAUCUUACAUGGAUCAGGAGAAUCAGUUUCACAGUAGCCUGCAUCAUAGUAGUUGUACAUUGUAUGCAAUCUAACUGUAGGAUACCCUCAUCUCAACAAAAAUAUGUUAUACUAUUUCUUGUAAAGCCAUAAUCCACCUGAAAUAAACAUAUCCUGAAAACUAACUGAA